GCAGGGGUGGCGGAGUAAGGCUAAUCGCGCUCGCCUUAAGAGCGAGUGUCACUCCGUGACACGCGGGUUCAAAUCCCGCCCCCUGCG
rnacentral:tRNA from 1 species